AGACCCGAAACCCGGUGAUCUAGCCAUGGGCAGGUUGAAGGUUGGGUAACACUAACUGGAGGACCGAACCGACUAAUGUUGAAAAAUUAGCGGAUGACCUGUGGCUGGGGGUGAAAGGCCAAUCAAACCGGGAGAUAGCUGGUUCUCCCCGAAAGCUAUUUAGGUAGCGCCUCGUGAAUUCAUCUCCGGGGGUAGAGCACUGUUUCGGCUAGGGGGCCAUCCCGGCUUACCAACCCGAUGCAAACUGCGAAUACCGGAGAAUGUUAUCACGGGAGACACACGGCGGGUGCUAACGUCCGUCGUGAAGAGGGAAACAACCCAGACCGCCAGCUAAGGUCCCAAAGUCAUGGUUAAGUGGGAAACGAUGUGGGAAGGCCCAGACAGCCAGGAUGUUGGCUUAGAAGCAGCCAUCAUUUAAAGAAAGCGUAAUAGCUCACUGGUCGAGUCGGCCUGCGCGGAAGAUGUAACGGGGCUAAACCAUGCACCGAAGCUGCGGCAGCGACACUGUGUGUUGUUGGGUAGGGGAGCGUUCUGUAAGCCUGUGAAGGUGUGUCGUGAGGCAUGCUGGAGGUAUCAGAAGUGCGAAUGCUGACAUAAGUAACGAUAAAGCGGGUGAAAAGCCCGCUCGCCGGAAGACCAAGGGUUCCUGUCCAACGUUAAUCGGGGCAGGGUGAGUCGACCCCUAAGGCGAGGCCGAAAGGCGUAGUCGAUGGGAAACGGGUUAAUAUUCCCGUACUUGGUGUUACUGCGAAGGGGGGACGGAGAAGGCUAUGUUGGCCGGGCGACGGUUGUCCCGGUUUAAGCGUGUAGGUGUGUGUUCCAGGUAAAUCCGGUUCACUUUAACACUGAGGCGUGACGACGAGGCACUACGGUGCUGAAGCAACAAAUGCCCUGCUUCCAGGAAAAGCCUCUAAGCAUCAGGUAACAUCAAAUCGUACCCCAAACCGACACAGGUGGUCAGGUAGAGAAUACCAAGGCGCUUGAGAGAACUCGGGUGAAGGAACUAGGCAAAAUGGUGCCGUAACUUCGGGAGAAGGCACGCUGACACGUAGGUGAAGUGAUUUACUCAUGGAGCUGAAGUCAGUCGAAGAUACCAGCUGGCUGCAACUGUUUAUUAAAAACACAGCACUGUGCAAACACGAAAGUGGACGUAUACGGUGUGACGCCUGCCCGGUGCCGGAAGGUUAAUUGAUGGGGUCAGCGCAAGCGAAGCUCCUGAUCGAAGCCCCGGUAAACGGCGGCCGUAACUAUAACGGUCCUAAGGUAGCGAAAUUCCUUGUCGGGUAAGUUCCGACCUGCACGAAUGGCGUAAUGAUGGCCAGGCUGUCUCCACCCGAGACUCAGUGAAAUUGAACUCGCUGUGAAGAUGCAGUGUACCCGCGGCAAGACGGAAAGACCCCGUGAACCUUUACUAUAGCUUGACACUGAACAUUGAGCCUUGAUGUGUAGGAUAGGUG
rnacentral:rRNA from 1 species